AGAAGGGCAGAGGGUAGAUUAAAAGAGAAAGAAAGAGAGACAGAUAAAAGGAGAGAGGUAGAGAAGGGCAGAGGGUGGAUUAAAAGAGAAAGAAAGAGAGAGAUGUACGUUAUAGUAUAGCUACCAAAUUGCACUGCUUGCCAAGCAUAAUUGCCCCUUGCGGGACAUAUUAAGUACAUGGUAUUGAAUCACAUGUUCCAGAGAUUCCGGUCUCUCUUGGUUAGACACCUUGUAUCCUUGCAUUACUUACUCCCAUUAAUAAAUAUCAGCUUUCUGGUGUAUCUCCACAUCACCAUGACCCUGCAGUACCACUCUAUACCCUGAGGCACAAACAGAACCGACAAAGGUCCACUACGAGAGACUUCUGCUCCAUCAUCUGUUCUCUCUCUCUCUCUCUCUCUCUCUCUCUCUGCUGACUGGGUCUUUUCAGUCUGGCACUGCGGCGUUUGGAUUAAUAUUACCUCAGCAAACAUUAUCUCAUAUGAAAUCUUCCCCUGCACUGGCCAUGGAAGGAUGGAGGAUAUAUUGUGGGUUUCUUGGUACGAAUCCUUUCACCGGUUCCCUUUUGUUUGUAUAGUUUGUUUUAACUCGCCCCUUUAGCAGCAGACUUGCUUUCUGAUGGCUUCUGACUCGAGCCUUUUGAGAGGUUGUUUGGCGAUCAUUAUUCAAUGAGACUGAACUGAAUGGAUUAAUUGAUGUACUCAGCUGUGGUAUUGGAGCUCUGCGGAAAUACAGACAUGCAGAUGAAAUUGAAAUGGUCCCUUCAUUCGGAAUGUCUGUGAGAAAGAAAAAAGAUGACUAAAGUGGUGCAGCGAUCUAUGGCACCGCAUCUCAGUCCUAGAGGCAUCACUACAGACCCUGGUUUGAUUCCAGGUUGUAUCACAACCGGCCGUGAUUGGGAGUCCCAUAGGGCGGCGCACAAUUGGUCCAGUGUCGUCCCAGUUAGGGUUUGGCCUGCGGGGGUGGGCUGUCAUUUUAAAUAAGAAUUUGUUCUUAACUGACUUUCCUAGUU